rnacentral:rRNA from 1 species
AUGAAUAGCUUCGGCUAGUUAGACCACUUGGUGUGGCCUGAUAUCGACUAUGUCGAAUAAAAUUCUAGAUAGAAUACUGAUNAUGACAAUUUUCUAUCUACUUGUCUUGACCAAAUUACGUGCCAGCAAUCGCGGCAAUACGUAGAAGACUAGUGUUAUUCAUCUUUAGUAGGUUUAAAGGGUACCUAGACGGUAUGACUAGCCCAAAACAGGGUACGGUCUUACUAGAGUUUUAUAUGAGGAGGGGAGUAUUUAUGGAGUAGAGUUGAAAUUCUGUGAUCCCAUAACGACUGGUAGCGGCGAAAGCAACCUUUUAUCUAAAAACUGACGUUGAGGGACGAAGGCUUGGGUAGCGAACAGGAUUAGAUACCCUAGUAGUCUAAGCAGAGAAUUAUGAAUGUCAUAGGCUAGAUAUUUUUAGCCUAUAAAUGAAAGUGUAAGCAUUCCACCUCAAGAGUAAUGUGGCAACGCAGGAACUGAAAUCAUUAGACCGUUUCUGAAACCAGUAGUGAAGUAUGUUAUUUAAUUUGAUAGCACGCAAAAAACCUUACCACAAUUCGUAUUUUAUAUUUUAAACUAUAUUAGUCGUAAAAUUCUUCUAUAGUUAGAGUAUAUUACAAGCGUUGCACGGCUGUCUUCAGUUAAUGUCGUGAGAUUUUGGUUAGUUCCAUAAAAUUAACGUAAACCCUUGCUCUAUUUUUUAACAUCCUAUCAGGGUUUUCCCUUUUUAGGACACUAAGAUUUUUAUAGGGUAGUUCACCAUCAUAUUGGAUAUAUGAUAAAAGGGACCAAGACAAGUCAUCAUGGCCUGAA